rnacentral:rRNA from 1 species
UACGUAGGGUGCAAGCGUUGCCCGGAUUUAUUGGGCGUAAAGGGCGCGCAGGCGGCUACGCACGUCCGUUGUGAAAUCGCUCGGCUCAACUGGGCGGGGUCGGCGGAUACGGCGUAGCUGGAGCAAGCUAGGGGGCAAUGGAAUUCCCGGUGUAGUGGUGGAAUGCGUAGAUAUCGGGAGGAACACCAGUGGCGAAGGCGGGUUGCUGGGCCGACACUGACGCUGAUGCGCGAAAGCCAGGGGAGCGAACGGG